rnacentral:rRNA from 1 species
CGUGAGGGAAUGGUGAAAAGUACCCCGGGAGGGGAGUGAAAGAGUACCUGAAACCAUGUGCUGAUAAUCCGUCAUAGCCCCCCCUUUUUUUUGGGUGGGGUGGUGGCGUGCCUUUUGAAGAAUGAGCCUGCGAGUCAGUGGCAUGUUGCGUGGUUAACCAUGAGUGUGGGGAGCCGUAGCGAAAGCGAAUCCUAAUCUAGGGUGUGUGUGGCAUGUUCUGGACCCGAAGCGGGGUGAUCUACCCAUGGCCAGUGUGAAGCAGAGGUAAGACUUUGUGGAGGCGCGAACCCACUUAGGUUGAAAACUGAGGGGAUGAGUUGUGGGUAGGGGUGAAAGGCCAAUCAAACUCCGUGAUAGCUGGUUCUCCCCGAAAUGCAUAUAGGUGCAGCGUUGCGUGGUUCCUUCCGGAGGUAGAGCGACUGGUUGGCUGAUGGGCCUUACCGGGUUACUGACGUCAGCUAAACUCCGAAUGCCGGGAGGGUGGAGCGUGGCAGUGAGACGGCGGGGGAUAAGCUUCGUCGUCGAGAGGGAAACAGCCCAGAUCGCCGGUUAAGGCCCCUAAGCGUGUGCUAAGUGGGAAAGGAUGUGGAGUUGCUGGGACAACCAGGAGGUUGGCUUAGAAGCAGCCAUCCUUGAAAGAGUGCGUAAUAGCUCACUGGUCAAGUGAUCGUGCGCCGACAAUGUAGCGGGGCUCAAGCACACCGCCGAAGCCGCGGACCCAUGGCAGUGUUCCCUUCAUCGUCCCGCUUUGUCGGGGUGGUGGCAGGGGUUGUGGGUGGUAGGGGAGCGUCCUGCACCGGGGGAAGCCUGUGGGUGACUGCUGGUGGACGGUGCGGGAGUGAGAAUGCAGGCAUGAGUAGCGAUACUAGGGUGAGAAGCCCUAGCGCCGAAUGACCAAGGGUUCCAGGGCCAGGCUAGUCCGCCCUGGGUGAGUCGGGACCUAAGGCGAGGCCGACAGGCGUAGUCGAUGGAUGACGGGUUGAUAUUCCCGUACCGGCGAAGCACCGCCCAUGCUGACGCGCGGGUGCUAACCCACGCCCAGCCACCAAGUUCAGCCGCGCCUACUCCUUUCGGGGGGUGGUGUGGUUGUGGUGGUGGGGUCUGGGGAUCCUCCGUGCAGGUAGGCAAGCGUGUUAACAGGGGUGACGCACAGUGGUAGCCCGGCGGACCUGAUGGCUUGGUCCGUUCAAGCGCGCAGCCCGUCCUCCAGGCAAAUCCGGAGGGCAGCCCAUUAGGUUGGGCGGGGUGAGGCGUGAUGGUGACCCCACGCUGGUGGGGGAUAACAGGGUGAUCCUGGGGUGCCGAGAAAAGCCUCGACGCGAUGGUGCCAGCCGCCCGUACCCUAAACCGACACAGGUGGUCGGGCAGAGUAUGCCUAGGCGCACGAGUGAAUCAUGGUUAAGGAACUCGGCAAAAUGCCCCCGUAACUUCGGGAGAAGGGGGGCCCGAACCCUGAAACGGCUGGCCCGUUAGGGGGGUGGGCCGCAGAGAGCAGGGGGGAGCGACUGUUUACUAAAAACACAGGUCCGUGCGAAGCCGUAAGGCGAUGUAUACGGACUGACGCCUGCCCGGUGCUGGAAGGUUAAGAGGAACCAUCAACCCCCUUGUGGGGUGAAGUGGUGAAUUUAAGCCCCAGUAAACGGCGGUGGUAACUAUAACCAUCCUAAGGUAGCGAAAUUCCUUGUCGGGUAAGUUCCGACCUGCACGAAUGGCGUAACGACUUCUCCGCUGUCUCGACCACGAGCUCGGUGAAAUUGCAGUACGAGUAAAGAUGCUCGUUUCGCGCAGCAGGACGGAAAGACCCCGGGACCUUUACUAUAGCUUGGUAUUGGUGUUCGGUACGGCUUGUGUAGGAUAGGUGGGAGACUGUGAACCGGUCACGCUAGUGGGCGGGGAGUCGUUGGUGAAAUACCACUCUGGCCGUGCUGACCAUCUAACCUCGGUCCGUGAUCCGGGCCAGGGACAGUGCCUGGUGGGUAGUUUAACUGGGGCGGUUGCCUCCUAAAGGGUAACGGAGGCGCUCAAAGGUUCCCUCAGCCUGGUCGGCAACCAGGUGGCGAGUGUAAGUGCACAAGGGGGCUUGACUGUGAGACUGACGGGUCGAGCAGGUACGAAAGUAGGAACUAGUGAUCCGGCGGUGGCUUGUGGAAGCGCCGUCGCUCAACGGAUAAAAGGUACCCCGGGGAUAACAGGCUGAUCCUGCCCAAGAGUCCAUAUCGACGGCAUGGUUUGGCACCUCGAUGUCGGCUCGUCGCAUCCUGGGGCUGGAGUAGGUCCCA